GAAGAUGGUGAACCGUAUUCUGGCCACAAGGGAGAUGGAGGGUGUCAAAUCUAAUGAACACAUCAGAGGGACUGUGGAGAAAAUCCUUCAGGAAUUUGGCAUCCUGAGCAAGCACACUGUGUUUGUGACAGAUAAUGGCUCAAACAUGAUCGCUGCUUUCAAGGAUUAUGUGCGACUCUCCAUAAUAUCAACUUGAUCUUAAAACACGUAUUUGACCACUUGGAUGAGGACAACCCAGUACACAGCAGCGUCAUCAAGCUGUUUAAGGACGCAAAGACCCUGGUCACACAUUUCAAAAGGGCAGGGUUACAAAAAGCACUGGACCAGUCACUGAAGCAGGCUGUAG